AACGAUCGAGGUCGCGACGGACGAAGC
rnacentral:piRNA from 1 species